GUCCCUGCAGCGCAAUGGAGAGCGCGUUGGGCUUCUAAUCUAAUGAUCGUGGGUUCGAUUUCCACCUGGGAUG